AGGGAGCGUAUGGAGGCGAUGGAGAAGCAGAUAGCCAGCCUGACCGGGCUGCUGCAGAGAGUACUGAGCAAAGCGCCUGAGGCAGAAAGCCCGGAGAAGAUUGAGUCAGCCAGUGACUGCUCAGGAACUGACACUGGACGAACUAUAAAAAAGAAAG